rnacentral:rRNA from 1 species
UAUUGCACAAUGGGCGAAAGCCUGAUGCAGCGACGCCGCGUGAGUGAAGAAGUAUCUCGGUANGUAAAGCUCUAUCAGCAGGGAANNCCNNNANGGCACCUGACUAAGAAGCCCCGGCUAACUACGUGCCNGAAACCGCGGUAAUACGGAGGGGGCAAGCGUUAUCCGGAUUUACUGGGUGUAAAGGGAGCGUAGACGGCGACGCAAGUCUGGAGUGAAAGCCCGGGGCCCAACCCCGGGACUGCUUUGGAAACUGUGCUGCUGGAGUGCAGGAGAGGUAAGUGGAAUUCCUAGUGUAGCGGUGAAAUGCGUAGAUAUUAGGAGGAACACCAGUGGCGAAGGCGGCUUACUGGACUGUAACUGACGUUGAGGCUCGAAAGCGUGGGGAGCAGA